ensembl:lncRNA novel transcript
AUCACCUUCCUUCUGUGUCCCUCCACAAAGCCAGUUGGGACUUCUAGAUAUUUUUGAAGGCAUAUUGAACUAGAUGGUGUUCUAGGGUACUAAUUUCAAGCUGUUGUUCUCCUAACCAUGCCACCAUAGCAGCAAUUUUAUUCUGAUGCAUAGAUUUGUAUAGAGAGGGUAAGAAAUUAUUCCAUGAAGUGAUCCCUUCUCAGAAUUUUAAAUAAGAAAUGGAAAAACUUUCUGUACUCUCAGAGUUUUCAUAAUUUCCCCUGGGGUAGGAGGGCAGGUGCAGAAGGGAACGGAACAAAGAUAAAGAAACAGCCACGUGGACGUGUGGUGGAAGAUCGUUUGAAGGAGGAGAAGAGCAAGUCAAAGGCCCUGAGGCAAGAGCACACUGGGCAUGUUCAAGCAGCAGGAAAUGGGCUCUGUCCAGGCCACUGGACUCCACUGAUGUGCUGAAUAAGUGGAACUCGUCUUUUUGAAAUGAAUGCCUCGGGUACGUCCUGUUCCCAGCUCCUUCUCCAGCACCCGCAGCCCCUCGGCUGACAUUUCAGAAACACAGCCCAAGCUGAAAUGGGCAGCCUGCCCAUGGAAGAGAUGGGGCAGAGGGAGACUGUGGCCUGUUCACACAGUUUGGUGGAAAGUGAAGACUGAAGGGGCUUCAUCGGGUGCUAUGGGAUACCUGCAUUUCACUGUACAACCUUGGACUCUCCCUCCCUCCAUGAGCAAUAGGAGAACUCCUAGGAACAAGUCUAACACUAGGACUUCCAGCAAUCUUGAGACUAAAGCCAGAGGUCACGUGAACUACAUAAACUAAAUUCCUCCAAAUACAAACCAAGCUUCCCACCCCAACUCUCCUUAGCUGAAAGGGUGCUCACAGGUACUCCAACACCUCCUGAAGUGUGUUGGAAGUGUGCCCAAGUGGAAAGCAUCAAUAUACUUCAUCAAUUGCUAAGAAGAUAUCAUAUUGUAAUGUUAUUAGUAAUUCAAUUAUUAAAAUGUAUUAGUGU